UGCAUACUCGUGUCUGCUAGUGCUAGGCCGCCAUAGGGGGAGGCCUGGUCGUCACCCGCCCCGAUGUUGCAGCACAUCGAUAUGGGCAUGCUGGUGCUGGUGCUCCUGUUGCUCCGCCGCGGAACCCUGCUCCCAUCGUGGCUGCCCAGGAGCGAGGCUAGGGCAUGUACAACGGCCAGCCGAUGCCGUCUCUUCGCCUCAAACGAAGCAAAAUACGCCUUCCAUCAGGCGAUUCAAUACGGAGAGAGAACAGAGCCGGCGCCUGAUUCAUCUACGGCACGAGCUCGUUCUCCCACGCGAAGCGACGACUCGGCGUUGGCGUUGUACCAGUCGCUCCCGUCGGCGCCGGCGAUGCGGAUCUGAUGCGCCAAGGCUGCCGUGCGCCAAGGUUCCCGCCAUGCUUCUCCCAGAAAUCCACCUCCCCGAAAUCCCCGAGGAAAACAGUCAAGGCAUCGUAGGGUGAUGUGGCGGCGGGGGGGUAGAGGGGUCCGGUCCGAAAGGGCUCACCGGCGCUGAAGGGCUCGCCGGCGCAGAUGCGGGCAUAGGGGUGGCCUGAGGCGGCGGCAGCGGCAGCGGGGCAGAGGGGUUCGUUGAGGAAGGAUUGUUUGGCAGCGCUGAACGUAGCCCCAUGGCUCAGCCAUGGAUGCAAUCUUAAGAUUCGGAUGCUGCAUCAUGUGCUGAUGUCAAAGAAAAAAUUUUGUGCUGAGAAUUGAGGUCUUGUUUGUGGCCAGGUGGCCUGGUGCAUAUGCUACUACAAGAUAACUGUUCUUUUUGUGUGAACUGAUGCCAGUCUGAGUCUGAAUAUUUGCGUGAACUGAUGCCAGUCUGAAUAUUUAUGUGAACAUUGUGAGAAUUUAUUAUCU